UACGGAGGGGGCGAGCGUUGUUCGGAAUCACUGGGUGUAAAGCGCGCGCAGGCGGCGGUGCUGGCCCGGCGUGAAAGCCCCCGGCUCAACCGGGGAGAGUCGUCGGGGACCGCACCGCUUGAGGGCGGUAGGGGCUGGUGGAAUGCCUGGUGUAGUGGUGAAAUGCGUAGAGAUCAGGCAGAACACCUGGGGCGAAGGCGGCCAGCUGGGCCGUCCCUGACGCUGAGGCGCGAAGGCGUGGGGAGCGAACGGG
rnacentral:rRNA from 1 species